rnacentral:lncRNA from 1 species
GAGCCUAGCAGCUGCUCGCAGCAGCCCCGCAGCCGCCGCCAAACCCAGACCUCAAGUGGAUGGAUGCCUCUGGAAGUGUCUUCCUGAACGAACCCAUCAGGCAGUGGAAGGCUGUGGCAGGGCUAGUGAACUUAGAUGGGGCAUUCCUCUCCUGCAGUUGAGCUGGCUGGAGAGAUACUUUAGUCCUGCCUUCCCAGUUCCGCGCCCUGCACAAGCAGUUUUGAAAAAUUAAGUGCAAAAAAGCAUGACAAAGCACUAUGAGGUUGCCGUGCUCAGAUAAAACAGAAUGGAGCAGGAUCCGGGCUGCUCUCUACAUUGGGUUGGUCUUAUCAAGCGUGAAGUUUGGCGCAUUGCAAACCUAUUCAAGUGAUUAUCUGUUGAGGACCUCUCGAGCCAUCUCCAUCUCUGCAGCGGGCUGA